rnacentral:rRNA from 1 species
UACGUAGGGCGCAAGCGUUGUCCGGAUUUAUUGGGCGUAAAGAGCUCGUAGGCGGUCUGUCGCGUCGGCUGUGAAAACCCGAGGCUCAACCUCGGGCCUGCAGUCGAUACGGGCAGACUAGAGUGUGGUAGGGGAGACUGGAAUUCCUGGUGUAGCGGUGAAAUGCGCAGAUAUCAGGAGGAACACCGGUGGCGAAGGCGGGUCUCUGGGCCAUAACUGACGCUGAGGAGCGAAAGCGUGGGGAGCAAACAGG